GCCGGACAAGAGAGGGAGGGACUGGGCCUCCUCUGCGGAGCAGUGUGUUUGAGUUUCCCAAAUCUACUCCUUAAGGCGAUGGCCUGGCAGCUCUACAGGCGGGCUCUCACCUCUGCCAUGGUGGUGGACACCCAGGAGCCCAGGCUGCUGUGGGCCGGGUCUGGCACGUUUGGCCACAGUGGAUUCUUCCUGCUGGAGAAGGGGGCAGGCAAAGCUGCACAAAGAGGUCAUAUGAAUGCACAGUGAGCCGGAGACCGAGCACACCAGCUCCCACUGCACUGGUUCCUGACGUAGCCUCCACAGUGAUAUAUCCUGGACCUCAGCUGGAGGACUCCUACCCAGCCAUCACCUGUCCUGUGUGGGGUGCUCCACAAGGAUUGGACCAGCUCAUUUUCACUUCUGUACCUUCAGCGCCUUGCACAGGGCCUGGAGCUCCACUGGCACUCAGGGUCAGUUGAAUGAAUGAAGGAAUGGAUUGCUGAACCCCAGAAGCAAGUUGCCAAGCAGAGUUUUUCAUUCAUUCACAACUAUUGAUUGAUCACCUACUCUUUCCCUCGUGUCUGAGGCUGAUCAGCCCCAGGCCCUGCCCACAUCGUGGUGAGGGUGGCACUGGGACUGGGAAGGAGCAUGGUGGGGGGAAGUUGGGAUAGAGAGACUGUACAGGAGGGCCCUGAGCCUCCUGAAUGCAGGGAACCGCUCUGAAGAAUCAAGCACUUAAGAUGCCAAAAGCUGAAGGCAUCAUAUUGCAGCCCCUCCUGGUCCCCUUCCGAGAGGACUUCCUAGAGAAGGAGGUCUGUGUGUUUGUGUGAGCAGGAAGCCCUGCAGGCUGCCUGGGAGAGGCUGGCUUCUCCCGUGCAGAGGCAGAGGCAGGUGGAGACUGAUUACUGCUACUAUUGUUUAUUUUUCCUGAAAAUGACCACCGUGCCCGCUCCACUCUGCCACCCCAUUCCAGUGCCUGUGGGGAAGUCAAUAGCGAUGGAUUAAACAGCAAGGGGAAGGCUGAGAGCACAAUUGGGUGAGAGAUAAAGAUAAUUAAAACUAAUUCCAACUGUUCCUAGAGAAAUCAAUUUCAUAACUUCAGCAUGUCCCUAAACCUGCUUCCAAGGCUCUGCAGUGCUGAGCAAAGGGCAUGCGCGUGUGGCACACAGACACAGGUGUGUGAGUGUGUGUGUACGCACAGGAGCUUGUUGUGUGUGCAUGUGUCUUCAGGCUCAUGUAUGUCUGUUUUAUGUAACCCUGGCUUGUGUAUAUUGAGGCAUACGUGAGGGUGUUGGGCACCAAUUCCUCCAAGUCUCCAUGUGGUACUAACUUACGACUUUACCUUUGACCCUGGGGGAAGAGGUGUAGAAGGGGAAAGAGAGUUGGGGUGGUUGGGUCCCCUCCACAGACACCAAGGUCCUUUGUCCCCUAUGACAAGGCCACCCAAGUGGUUCAAUACUCCUUGAGAGGCAUGGGGAAACUGAGGCCCAGAGCAUGGAGGUUGCCACGGGGCACACAGCAAGUGAGCGGCAGGACUGGGACUUGGAUGUUGGUCCCCUGCGCUUCCUUAGGGCUUCACUAUCUGGAUGAGGGCAGCCAGGGUGCAGGGGAGGAAGACUGACCUUAUGCCUGGGAGCUCCUGUGUGAACAGCUCUUUAACUUGCCCACUCAUUCAUUCUUCAGACCCAGGCUGAGCACCUAUUGCCAGCUUGGCUGGGACUGGGCUGCAUCUGGGAGGAGUGUUUCCUCAGGAGGAGAGGGCUGCUUGGCUAUGGGGGCUGGUGGGCCUCUCCUUGUUCCUUACCAGGUUGCCUCUGAAUCACAGCCCAGGACAGAGCCUCCCUAAGAAGCACGAUGAGCCAGAGGGUUAGCCCCAGCUGUGGAUGGCUCUGUUGGCACUGGUGUCAUAGCUGGCAACU